CUAAUCUGCGAUAAGCGCCGGUAAGGUGAUAUGAACCGUUAUAACCGGCGAUACCCGAAUGGGGAAACCCAGUGUGAUUCGUCACACUAUCAUUAACUGAAUCCAUAGGUUAAUGAGGCGAACCGGGGGAACUGAAACAUCUAAGUACCCCGAGGAAAAGAAAUCAACCGAGAUUCCCCCAGUAGCGGCGAGCGAACGGGGAGGA
rnacentral:rRNA from 3 species